rfam:Camelus ferus unplaced genomic scaffold scaffold1141, whole genome shotgun sequence.
GAUGGUAUAGUUCAAGUGGUAGAGCGCAUGCUUAGCAUAUACAAGGUCCUGGGUUCGAUCCCCAGUACCUCCU